UAAAAUGCACUGAAGGGAAAUAGUAAGUAAUUUAUGAUCUAUAAGAGAGGAAAUCAUAGGCUGAGAGAUUUCUGAUCCUCUAAAGCACUGAACCAGUCCUAGAGCAUCUAGAUUGAAAUAAAAGUAUAUCUAGACGGAAUAACCGUUAUAUAAAAUGAGUAAACUGCAUAUAUAAUAUAGUAGUUUAUUAGGGUGGUACCACGGAAAUACAAGCCUUCGUCCCUUUU
rnacentral:ncRNA from 1 species